GAUGAACGCUGGCGGCGUGCCUAAUACAUGCAAGUCGAGCGAACGGACGAGAAGCUUGCUUCUCUGAUGUUAGCGGCGGACGGGUGAGUAACACGUGGAUAACCUACCUAUAAGACUGGGAUAACUUCGGGAAACCGGAGCUAAUACCGGAUAAUAUUUUGAACCGCAUGGUUCAAAAGUGAAAGACGGUCUUGCUGUCACUUAUAGAUGGAUCCGCGCUGCAUUAGCUAGUUGGUAAGGUAACGGCUUACCAAGGCAACGAUGCAUAGCCGACCUGAGAGGGUGAUCGGCCACACUGGAACUGAGACACGGUCCAGACUCCUACGGGAGGCAGCAGUAGGGAAUCUUCCGCAAUGGGCGAAAGCCUGACGGAGCAACGCCGCGUGAGUGAUGAAGGUCUUCGGAUCGUAAAACUCUGUUAUUAGGGAAGAACAUAUGUGUAAGUAACUGUGCACAUCUUGACGGUACCUAAUCAGAAAGCCACGGCUAACUACGUGCCAGCAGCCGCGGUAAUACGUAGGUGGCAAGCGUUAUCCGGAAUUAUUGGGCGUAAAGCGCGCGUAGGCGGUUUUUUAAGUCUGAUGUGAAAGCCCACGGCUCAACCGUGGAGGGUCAUUGGAAACUGGAAAACUUGAGUGCAGAAGAGGAAAGUGGAAUUCCAUGUGUAGCGGUGAAAUGCGCAGAGAUAUGGAGGAACACCAGUGGCGAAGGCGACUUUCUGGUCUGUAACUGACGCUGAUGUGCGAAAGCGUGGGGAUCAAACAGGAUUAGAUACCCUGGUAGUCCACGCCGUAAACGAUGAGUGCUAAGUGUUAGGGGGUUUCCGCCCCUUAGUGCUGCAGCUAACGCAUUAAGCACUCCGCCUGGGGAGUACGACCGCAAGGUUGAAACUCAAAGGAAUUGACGGGGACCCGCACAAGCGGUGGAGCAUGUGGUUUAAUUCGAAGCAACGCGAAGAACCUUACCAAAUCUUGACAUCCUUUGACAACUCUAGAGAUAGAGCCUUCCCCUUCGGGGGACAAAGUGACAGGUGGUGCAUGGUUGUCGUCAGCUCGUGUCGUGAGAUGUUGGGUUAAGUCCCGCAACGAGCGCAACCCUUAAGCUUAGUUGCCAUCAUUAAGUUGGGCACUCUAAGUUGACUGCCGGUGACAAACCGGAGGAAGGUGGGGAUGACGUCAAAUCAUCAUGCCCCUUAUGAUUUGGGCUACACACGUGCUACAAUGGACAAUACAAAGGGCAGCGAUACCGCGAGGUCAAGCAAAUCCCAUAAAGUCGUUCUCAGUUCGGAUUGUAGUCUGCAACUCGACUACAUGAAGCUGGAAUCGCUAGUAAUCGUAGAUCAGCAUGCUACGGUGAAUACGUUCCCGGGUCU
rnacentral:rRNA from 1 species